AUACGUAGGGGGCGAGCGUUGUCCGGAAUGAUUGGGCGUAAAGGGCGCGUAGGCGGCCCGGUAAGUCUGGAGUGAAAGUCCUGUUUUUAAGAUGGGAAUUGCUUUGGAUACUGUCGGGCUUGAGUGCAGGAGAGGUAAGUGGAAUUCCCAGUGUAGCGGUGAAAUGCGUAGAGAUUGGGAGGAACACCAGUGGCGAAGGCGACUUACUGGACUGUAACUGACGCUGAGGCGCGAAAGUGUGGGGAGCAAACAGGAUUAGAUACCCUGGUAGUCCACACUGUAAACGAUGAAUGCUAGGUGUAGGGGGUAUCGACCCCUUCUGUGCCGCAGUCAACACAAUAAGCAUUCCGCCCGGGGAGUACGGCCGCAAGGUUGAAACUCAAAGGAAUUGACGGGG
rnacentral:rRNA from 1 species